GGCUCGUUGGUCUAGGGGUAUGAUUUUC
rnacentral:piRNA from 4 species